UGCAAACAUCAGUCACUCAUUCAUACUUAUUCAUUCGUUCCUUUUUGACAUUCAUUCCAUUGGAGAGAAUCGGACGGAUUGCACGUUGGAGUCUAUAACCUCCACCCCAAAAUUGUUUUACAAUUAAUUAACGUGUGUCCAAUGUGUCAAUAUACGCAAUUUGAAAUUUAACAAGUGUUUCCAUGAACAUUUGUUUUUGGUCCAUCGAGCCUUCUAUAAUAGUGAAGAGGACAGUGAUCAUUUGUUUUUGGUCCAUCGAGCCUUCUAUAAUAGUGAAGAGGACAGUGAUCAUUUGUUUUUGGUCCAUCGAGCCUUCUAUAAAAGUGAAGAGGACAGUGAACAUUUUUAUUGGUCAUCGAGCUUUCUAUAAAAGUGAAAUCGUGAAAUUACAAUAUUACAUGGAGUUUGGUGUGCUGCAAAUUUACUCAUAAAACUGAACGUUGGUGGUCAUCCCACUACAACCUGAGUGCCGUCAUCAAUCUACCGACCGGGUGCCGAUAGUCAUCAUAUUUUAUCAAUAUACAAGUUCGUCGUGUGAAGAAUCAAAAUGGCUGAACGUAUGCCGUCUCCCCGCCGAAACGCAAGACCAUGAAGUUGGGCGCAGAAAGAAGCGAACAUUGAACGAGUUGAAGAACGAACAAGAAGAACGAGGUGAACAUAGGCGCUAAUUCCGGAGGACAUCAUUCUUUACUUCUUCCCUUGUUAAUGGCGAUGGACUUAUUCUGUUUCGCCACUAAGUGCAUAAAGGUCAUUCAUUUCUUCCGUUCCUUCCCGCGUUUUUAUAUAGUUGGCGUCCUGUCAUCUGUCAACUGUCUUUCAUUCGUUCGUUUCAUUUUUACUUGUCGUUAGAAAUUUGUCUUUUCGAGAUUUUGGAUAAAAUUUUAGUAAAUAAAGUCGUGGUUCAAUUUCCAAGCCAUGGCCGAAAAGACAUUAGAAAGGGGGUACGUGAAGGCAGGAAUCACACGCCUAAAACACUUUUGUUUUUCGGAUUCUUUCGAAUCCGCAAGUGUCGACGCUCUCCGCUUAAAAAGAGAACGUUUAAUUAAUCUGUUUAAAGAAUAUGAAUUAAUAAACAAAAGUAUCCUGAAUACCAAUGCCGAUGACAGCGAGGACGUCGGCAAGGUUGAGGAUGUAUAUUACGAGUGCAUGGAGUUGUUGGACGCCAGACUAAACCGCCAAAAUAAUGGUAUACAAAGAGAAAAAGAAAGGCGCGCAUUAGCUAUGGAGACAAAUGAGGAGAGGCCUGCUCCAGCCAAAUCAACCAGCAAUGUAGCAGCCAUCAAGACAACAAUAUGUCCUGCAGCGUGAGUCGCUGCCAGUUACUCCAAAUGGCCCUUUCCUGGUUAAUACAUUGUUCGGGUAUGUGGUAGCAGGCAGCCUGCCUGUCUCCGCUGGUAACAUCUCAUCUUCUAAUGUUUGUGUCACUAUUAAAGGUAACAAAUUUGGCUUCCAUAAUAAUGCUUCUGAGACACCUUUUGAUCCUAUAGAUCAAACAUUUAAUUAUUCUGAAAAUAAUUGUAAAAAUAUUAAUGACUUAGAAAAAACAAUGUCAAAUUCUUGGGAAUGUGAA